rnacentral:rRNA from 1 species
GAUAAACGCUGGCGGCGUGCCUAACACAUGCAAGUCGAACGCCCUGGAGCAAUUCAGGGAGUGGCGGACGGGUGAGGAACACGUGGGUGAUCUGCCUUGAGGUGAGGAAUACCGGCGAGAAAUCGCCGACAAUACCGCAUAGGUUCGUAAGAACAAAGUCGCAAGACGCCUUGAGAUGAGCCUGCGUCCGAUUAGCCAGUUGGUGGGUAAUGGCCUACCAAAGCAGCGAUCGGUAGCUGGUCUGAGAGGACGAUCAGCCACACUGGGAUUGAGAACGGCCCAGACUCCUACGGGGG